rnacentral:rRNA from 1 species
GACGAACGCUGGCGGCGUGCUUAACACAUGCAAGUCGAACGCUGAAGCUCAGCUUUUGUUGGGUGGAUGAGUGGCGAACGGGUGAGUAACACGUGAGUAACCUGCCCCCUUCUUUGGGAUAACGCCCGGAAACGGGUGCUAAUACUGGAUAUUCACUGGUCUUCGCAUGGGGGUUGGUGGAAAGGGUUUUUCUGGUGGGGGAUGGGCUCGCGGCCUAUCAGCUUGUUGGUGGGGUGAUGGCCUACCAAGGCUUUGACGGGUAGCCGGCCUGAGAGGGUGACCGGUCACAUUGGGACUGAGAUACGGCCCAGACUCCUACGGGAGGCAGCAGUGGGGAAUAUUGCACAAUGGGCGCAAGCCUGAUGCAGCGACGCCGCGUGAGGGAUGGAGGCCUUCGGGUUGUGAACCUCUUUCGCUUAUGGUCAAGCCGCAACAAUGGUUGUGGUGAGGGUAGUGGGUAAAGAAGCGCCGGCUAACUACGUG